rnacentral:lncRNA from 1 species
AUGUAUGUGUGGUGGCCAGAAGUAGCCAACUGCCACUUUGCAACUGCCACUCUGCAACGGCUUCCCACACCACCAUGAUGUGGUGAAGCCAAGGGGGUCUUUGCAAGACCCUGAACAGUGUUGUUGAGAUGAUUAGACUCCAGAGCUAUGAGGUUUAAUCAGCCUCUUUGCUUUGUAAGGCGGGACAACAAGUGUACUCUACUGUGUCUAGUCGGAACUGUGUUUCUGCAACGCUAACCAGAACAACUGAUUCACUACUUCGACGACUUCCAGGAAAGACUGUGGUUGGAAGCUACUGUGGCGGUGCCAUGACGACAGAAGGUAAAUGAGCCAUUCAUAUUGGUAUUCACAUGGCUUGACAUCGAACUGGAGCAAGUACAAAACAAAGUUUGUUCUCAGAAUUGAAUGACACGAGAGGAUGUCAUAGUGAGAAGCAGCCUUAGACUGAACGACAUGCUUAGAUUGCGGUGUUUUGUUUGAGGGAGAUGGUCAGUGAGCUGUGAGAAACUCAGCUGUCAAGCACGGGUGAGAGGGAGAAAUACUAUGGAAGGAAUUUGAGGUCGGCUUCUUUGGGCAGAUGAAAUUCUUCCCGGUGUAGUCUCCUCCCCUCUUCAUUUACAACAGAAGUUAACAUCUGUGUUCCCUACUUUCCUUAGUUCUCAGACAUUUUGUCAUCUGUUACCACAACUAUUUAGUGACUCAACAAGAAUUUCCCUAAAUCACUGUGAGAUCUCAUUUGGAUUUUUAAUAAACAGUCACAUUCUAAUGAGGUCUUCAUA